CAUUGUGAGACGAAUUAUCUCUCUCUAUAGAAAAGCGACUUCUGUUUUUGAUUUUCUGAUUUUCUCUUCGUCUCUCUCAUUCUUUCUCCCUGUGAAGCCCCGCGGAAUUCAAGCAUUCUAAGCAUAGGAAGCCGCACUCUUUAACUCUUGUAAACCCGGUUCAGGCUUUGUCUUUGACGUGGGUUUGGUUUCUUUAGAGCGAUUCUUUGGAGAUGAACUCCGGGCAGCUGGAUCCCAUUGGAAAGUGUGUUGAUGGAUUUUCAUCCGAGCACUUAUUCUCUCCAGAUUAUCCAGGUAUAAGUGGCAAAUUUGCAGAUCCACAGGUGCUCCCGCGAGUUGGUUCUGCUUACCAGGUGGAAAUUCCGCCCAUUUUAACAGAAUCUGAGAGGCUUCGGCUUCUACAGGACCCAGCUGAUACUGAGACGAAGUUAGAUGUCUCUCAUAAUUUUCUGAUGGGACUACCCAUUCCAGUUAUGUGGGUUGAUAAUGAAAGAAAUACCCAUGAAAAUGGAAAAAUUGGAGCUAUUAGAAGACCUGAUGAUUCCAUCAGUGCAAAUGGGUCAUUGGGAUCUAAAAGGACAAAAAAGCGUCGACUUAUUCGAAACAAGAAGGGUUUGAAAUCCAAACCAUUGGAUAUUGCAUCUGACAAUGGUAAAACAAGAAAGUCAGCAAGCAAAAGCUGCUGUUUAGUUCCUGGUUUGCAUGGUGAUGUAUCAUGGACUGACGUUGAAGUCAGUGGUUUCCUCCUUUCCAUUUACAUAUUUGAGAAGAAUCUUGUUCAGGUGAAGAGAUUUGUGGAAACAAAGGAGAUGGGGGACAUCCUAUCCUUCUACUAUGGGAAGUUCUAUGGAUCUUAUGAACAUAAGAGAUAUUCAGGUUGUCGGAGGAUGAUGAAAAGCAGGAAGUGCAAGAUUGGGCAGAGAAUUUGUACAGGAUGGAGGCAACAGGAGCUGUUAUCUCGUUUGCUUCCCCACGUCUCUGAGGAGGCAAAAAGUAACUUGGUUCAGGUCUCUAAGGCAUUUGCAGAAGGAAGAAUUUCACUUGAAGAUUACAUACAUACUUUAAAGACUCUUGUGGGUACUCCCACGCUCAUAGAAGCUGUAAGAAUCGGGAAGGGGAAGGACGAUCUCACAAACCUUUCGAUGGAGCCCACUAGAAACGACCAACUGUUUAGCAUCCAGCCUGAAAUACCAGCUGGCAAAGCAUGGUCCUCCCUAACUUCUAGUGACAUAAUUAAGUUUCUAACCGGAGACUUCCGAUUGAGCAAAGCUCGAUCAAAUGACAUCUUCUGGGAAGCCGUUUGGCCUCGUUUGCUAGGGAGAGGAUGGCAUUCUGAGCAGCCGAAGAAUCAUUUUUGCUAUGGUUCUAAACAUCAGCUGGUUUUUCUUACACCUGGUGUUAAGAAAUUCUCAAGAAGAAAACUCGUUAAAGGAAACCACUACUUCGAUUCCGUGAGUGAUAUUUUGAGCAAAGUUGCAUCAGAUCCAGUACUUAUAGAGCUUGAGGCUGAAACAGAGUCCAUAGUGGAAAACAACACAGAUGAUCGUCAACCACCUUGUUACCUUAAACCCAGAGUUUCUUCUUGCAGUUCAAAUCCUGCAACAUAUACAAUUGUUGAUACAAGUUUGAGCUGUGCAGUAAAAUCACUCAAGGUGACGGGGUUGCUAAUUAUACCUGAUGACACUAAAAACACUUCGAGCUUGAAUAUUCACUCAAAAGAAGCAGAGGGUAAUUGCUCAGGGAAUUUUUCGAUGGACGAGCCACAAUCUGCUGAUAUGUUACCUAAGGGACACAAGCAAUUUUUUUGCGAUCAGGGUAAGUGUAUAGUUGAGUAUAGCAAUGCAAACCAAAGGAUGCCAAUCAAUGAUACCGAAUAUGCCAAACAUUGGAUACAAGACCACCAUUAUCAAGACACUGAUUUGUCUAAUUUUGAGCAGUUAAAUAAAUUCAACAGGAGAGUGAGACCCGGAUGUUUGAAUUUGUUCCCCCCUCUUAUGAAGCGGCGGAAGUUGGCUUCUUGCUUAGAGGACAAAUCAAGAAAAAACAAAGAGAAGCUCCUAGUGACCAAUGAAUGUAAAGAAGUGAAGCCCAAUCUCAUGUCAAAUUCAUCAUGUUUGUCUGAAGCUGUUCCUGCCCAUGAGAAGGUACAAUUGGCUAGGUCUUCACCACAAUGCAGUCCAAAAAAGGAGAGCAGUGAUGAUACAGACUUGUUUCCCAGUAAACGUGAGAAACCUCAAUCACCGUCCUUGUUUGAUCUAAAUGAGCCCCCGAUUCCAGUAGAUGGUGAAAACGGCAAAUUUUGCAUGAUGAAGUUGAACGACAGCUUGCAAAACCCUAAUGUACAUGUUUUAGGCACUUCCUCUGACAAAUACAACCUUGUGGAACCUGAAGUUUUGAGUAAAUCCACUGAUGUCAAUGUUGAGGAAAAGCUGCCAGUUGUGAAUCCCAGGCGACAAAGCACAAGAAGCCGGCCCUUGACCAUGAGAGCAUUGGAAGCUCUCGCAAGUGGGUUCCUAGGUACUAAACAGAAGAGAAAAGGCAGAGAUAGUGAGAUGCAAAGUAAACGAGUAUCAACAAGACCUUCCAAGUAGAACUCAUAUCAGAGCCAGUUUAACUUUAAAUCCUGGCAGCUGUUGUGCAUAAUAAGGAAAGAAAUGGGGUGGAUGAAGUUUGGAAUGGCACCAAAAAUAGGGUUGGAGAUCCUCUUCUUGAAAUUGAAAGAAAAGAAGCCCAAGAGCUAGUGGAGGACUAUAACUGCUGGAGUCAUUUUAAAAUAAUGAAUCUGCAGAAGACGUGAAUUCACGUCUUUCGGCAAAUCCGAUCGUACCUCUGCCUGCUCCUCAAGCUCCAGUACCAGAACCGGGGGCCAUUUCAAAGGAAGUCUAAUAUCUAAUAUGUGGGUCAUUUGCCUUCUUGCCUAUAACUUCCCCUCGAGUGAUGUCAACACCCAGUUCCCUAAUGAAGAGCUAACGGUGAUUGCAUUCAGGACUUGGGAGAUUUUUUUUGGAUGGUGCCAAUAAUUAUCUUUCUGGUUAGGGCUCACAGCAUGCGAGAGGGUGUUGGCUGAUCAAGGCUUUAGCUGACUCCACAGGAGCGCAAUGAUCUUUUUGUCAAACCUUUGCAACUUUAAGGCAUCACAUUGCAGAAUUGACCUCCAUUUUUUAAGAAACAUAGUUACAUAAGAGCAUUGGAAGCUCUCGCAAGUGGGUUCCUCCUACGUACUGAACCAAAGCAAAAAGACACAGAAUGAGAUUCAGAGUAUACAACUUUCUGUUGUGCGCACCAGGACCUCAAACCAAACACAUGUGCGCACACGCACACGAAUCAAUCACGAGAGAAAAUUUCAUCUACUAUUGAAUCAAACACAAUACUUGAUCACAAAAAACUCUCCCGAGGAGGAGCUCCAAAACCAGAGCUCAAGACUCAACUCUCUCUAUUCUCUCUCUCUCCCUCACAACGCUCCGUUUGCCACUCCGACAAGCAUAAGACGCAGCUGAAUUUAUGAGCCAAACAUUGAUUUAAGCAAUAGCCAAGAAUAACAGAAGAAUUGAAGAUGAUGGGUAACUUUUCUUUACAAAUGUGUUCAGUAUGGGAAAUUGGGCUUGCACACAUCCAAACCAAGGCUCCUCGCCAAAGCCUCUGCAACUGAGCUUCUGAUUUCUCUGCUCCUAGACCGCCGACCUUGUAGAAGCAACUCUCACACUGUCAACACCACCUUCCUGUAGAGCUCCUAUCAAAGCCGGGUUAACCACAAAUCUGGACAGAAGCACUGCUAUUGUGCAUGAUAAGGAAAGAAUUGGGGUGGUUGAAGCUUGGGGUGGCAACAAAAACAGGGUUGGAGAUCCUCUUCUUGAAACUGAAAGAAAAGAAGCUCAAGAGCUAGUGCAGAACUUUAAAGCUGCUACAACGGAUCCCUUAGCAAUGCGCUUUGGAAGGAAGAGGGGAAAAAAAUGAUUUAUUGCUUCAUGAAGGGGAAAAGAAUGAACAGAGGAAGCAAAUGCAAGAUGUGAUUGUUCUUAUCCUUGGAGUUUCAAGAGGAAUUUCUAAUUUGGAAUGCCAGCGUAUGGGAAACAAUAACUUGAGGUACUUAUUAUAGUUAUUAAUACUUCCAAUGUUUUGAUUUUUUUCAAAAAUCCUAAUGAACCACAAAAAUUCGUUAAGGGAAUGGUAUUUCUCGUGGUAGUAUAACUCUGAAAUCUUCGUGUAAUCUUCGAAUAAUUCUGGAAUAUUCGUAAAGGGGAUGGUAUUUCUCAUUG